GGGCGUUAAGUUGCAGGGUAUAGACCCGAAACCCGGUGAUCUAGCCAUGGGCAGGUUGAAGGUUGGGUAACACUAACUGGAGGACCGAACCGACUAAUGUUGAAAAAUUAGCGGAUGACCUGUGGCUGGGGGUGAAAGGCCAAUCAAACCGGGAGAUAGCUGGUUCUCCCCGAAAGCUAUUUAGGUAGCGCCUCGUGAAUUCAUCUCCGGGGGUAGAGCACUGUUUCGGCUAGGGGGCCAUCCCGGCUUACCAACCCGAUGCAAACUGCGAAUACCGGAGAAUGUUAUCACGGGAGACACACGGCGGGUGCUAACGUCCGUCGUGAAGAGGGAAACAACCCAGACCGCCAGCUAAGGUCCCAAAGUCAUGGUUAAGUGGGAAACGAUGUGGGAAGGCCCAGACAGCCAGGAUGUUGGCUUAGAAGCAGCCAUCAUUUAAAGAAAGCGUAAUAGCUCACUGGUCGAGUCGGCCUGCGCGGAAGAUGUAACGGGGCUAAACCAUGCACCGAAGCUGCGGCAGCGAA
rnacentral:rRNA from 1 species